rnacentral:rRNA from 1 species
UUUGAUAGUACCUUACUACUUGGAUAACCGUGGUAAUUCUAGAGCUAAUACAUGCUAAAAACCCCAACUUCGGGAGGGGUGUAUUUAUUAGAUAAAAAACCAAUGCCCUUCGGGGCUCCUUGGUGAUUCAUGAUAACUUCUCAGAUCGCAUAGCCUUGAGCUGGCGACGGUUCAUUCAAAUUUCUGCCCUAUCAACUUUCGAUGGUAAGGUAGUGGCUUACCAUGGUUGCAACGGGUAACGGGGAAUUAGGGUUCGAUUCCGGAGAGGGAGCCUGAGAAACGGCUACCACAUCCAAGGAAGGCAGCAGGCGCGCAAAUUACCCAAUUCCGAUACGGAGAGGUAGUGACAAUAAAUACUGAUACAGGGCUCUUUUGGGUCUUGUAAUUGGAAUGAGUACAAUUUAAACCUCUUAACGAGGAACAAUUGGAGGGCAAGUCUGGUGCCAGCAGCCGCGGUAAUUCCAGCUCCAAUAGCGUAUAUUAAAGUUGUUGCAGUUAAAAAGCUCGUAGUUGAACCUUUGGCCUGGCUGGCAGGUCCGCCUCACCGCGUGCACUUGUCCGGCCGGGCCUUUUCUUCUGGAGAACCGCAUGCCCUUCACUGGGUGUGUUGGGGACCAGGACUUUUACUUUGAAAAAAUUAGAGUGUUCAAAGCAGGCCUUUGCUCGAAUACGUUAGCAUGGAAUAAUAGAAUAGGACGUGCGGUCCUAUUUUGUUGGUUUCUAGGACCGCCGUAAUGAUUAAUAGGGACAGUCGGGGGCAUCAGUAUUCAAUUGUCAGAGGUGAAAUUCUUGGAUUUAUUGAAGACUAACUACUGCGAAAGCAUUUGCCAAGGAUGUUUUCAUUAAUCAGUGAACGAAAGUUAGGGGAUCGAAGACGAUCAGAUACCGUCGUAGUCUUAACCAUAAACUAUGCCGACUAGGGAUCGGG